CAUCUCCCCAGAGAAGCUUGCGGCCACUCUGGUUGCUAAGAACUUCAGCUCAUCCCAUUUGAGAACAGAGGCUGGGAGAAGGGCAGGAAUUGGGCGUCAAAUAGCAGUUAUGUGAUAUCUGAAUCUGCUUUAUUGAAGAGUUUCACUUUUCUUUCUUUCUUUCUUUCUUUCUUUUUUUUUUUUUUUUUUUUUUUUUUUUUUUUCUUUUUAGGGCCGCAUCCGUGGCAUACAGAAGUUCCCAGGCUAGGGGUUGAAUCGGUUGAGCCCAUCUGCCAUCUCCACCGCAGCCUAAGGCAACACCAGAUCCUCAACCCACCGAGAGAAGCCAGGGAUUGAACCCUCAUCUUCAGGGAUACCAGCCAGGCCACCUGCCCACAACAGAGUAGGCAGAGGGGAGGAGGCUCCUCCAAAUUCUCCAUCCAGAAAAGCAUGCCUCUCCAGAAACCCAUGUCUCUCGGACGCAGGGAGAGUUGACCUGGGAGUCUGUUUCAAGAGUAUUUGGCGCUAUAACUGCAUUUGGUGAACUUCUAUUUGACUGAUUCUCUUACAGAAUGUUUUACUUGGAACGUGUUUCAGAUGUUAGAGGCGCUGGUGCAGAUUCUUCCAGAUAACAGUUGGUCUGAGCCCACCUGCCGAUGGUAUUCGUCUCAUGAAGUCAUCCGCAGCAGGAGAGAACCGAACCAAAAUCAUUUGUGGGACGUGUGGUUCACAGAAUUUUGUGUUCUACUAAGCAUCAUUCUUCACUUAAAAAAAAUUUGUUACUGGGCUGAUGCCAAGCCUUCUGUAGUACUUCCCGGAUACAAAUCAGGUUUUAAUAAAAGCUCCCUGGGAC
rnacentral:lncRNA from 1 species